AUGUUCCCCAUGUUCCAAGAGCUUGCACCAGAGGGCCCACAUGACAAGUGUGGUCACCACCACGCGAUUUGCCUUGACCUGAAGAACCAACGUUUUGAGGUGCUUGAUUCAAUGCGUUCAGAAGCUGAUGCAGACCUUACUACACAUGUUGAAUACUUCAUCAACAACCUCAAAGAGACAUGGAACCGUCACUACAAAAACUCAAGGGUCCAGAUCGGUCAUUUUCCAAUCGAGUAUGUCGCGACUACGAAGCAAGGAAACUGGCAUGACUAUGGCUUUCACAUGUUGGAAUACCUUGCAAAGUGA
rnacentral:rRNA from 1 species